AUACACCUGAAGAUAAAACACACCAAGACAAGAAAGACAGCAAUGGGGAGAAAAAGAGACAUUUUCUUAUGAUGGCUUUUUUUCCCAAAAUAUUUCAUCUAUUUAUUUCUUUCUC
rnacentral:ribozyme from 1 species